GUCGAGGUCGUUUAGCCUGGUCUAGAACGCCAGUCUCAUAAGCUGGAUUUCGAGAGUUCAAAUCUCUCCCUCGACA
rnacentral:tRNA from 1 species